rnacentral:rRNA from 1 species
GACGAACGCUGGCGGCGUGCUUAACACAUGCAAGUCGAACGGAAAGGCCCUGCUUUUGUGGGGUGCUCGAGUGGCGAACGGGUGAGUAACACGUGAGUAACCUGCCCUUGACUUUGGGAUAACUUCAGGAAACUGGGGCUAAUACCGGAUAGGAUCUCCUGCUGCAUGGUGGGGGUUGGAAAGUUUCGGCGGUUGGGGAUGGACUCGCGGCUUAUCAGCUUGUUGGUGGGGUAGUGGCUUACCAAGGCUUUGACGGGUAGCCGGCCUGAGAGGGUGACCGGCCACCUUGGGACUGCGAUACGGCCCAGACUCCUACGGUAGGCAGCAGUGGGGAAUAUUGCACAAUGGGCGGAAGCCUGAUGCAGCAACGCCGCGUGCGGGAUGACGGCCUUCGGGUUGUAAACCGCUUUCGCCUGUGACGAAGCGUGAGUGACGGUAAUGGGUAAAGAAGCACCGGCUAACUACGUG